CCUCGGCCUCCCAAAGUGCUGGGAUUACAGGCGUGAGCCACUGCGCCCGGCCUGAUAUAUGAGAUUUGAUGUCUGCCCAACACAAAUUGUUUUUCUGUAGUAUCAAUAACUUAUUCUUUUUUCAGAGAGUAUCUAGUUACAGUAUCAGUAGAAAUCCCUGAAUUAUUAUGUAAAACCUGAGAGAAUGGUAACAUUUUCUUUGAUUACAUGGAAUGUUUCCCUAACACUAAUUGCUGAGAAAGCUUUAGCCACAUCAGCCUGUAUGAUGCUCUCAGAAUGUGGCAUCCUUGCUCCUUCAGUGGUUAAAGGUAUUUAGUGAUCUAAUGCCCAGCCACUGGCCAACCUUUUCUGUAUGACUUACACACCUUAUUCUGAAAUUAGGUUCACUUUGUAUUCUAUUUAGUUGUUUACAUGACUGUGUCUCUGAAAAGAUGGGAAUCUCUUUGAGGGAUGGAGGCCAUACCCUUUGCAGAUUCAUCUCUGUGUCUACUUGUUUGCUUCUACCACCACAGCAAAUGGAGACUUGGAUUAAACAGGUGUUGAGAGAUGCUGACUUGAAACCAUCAUCCUUCUAUUAGUGAUCCAGGGAAAUGAAGAAAUGCUGCAGAAUUCGCCUCUUAGCUGAUCGGGUUGCCCUGUGACUGAGACCAUGUGAAGACCUGGGGAAGUGGUCACUCUGAAUAGCUGAGAGUGCUGGGAAGCAUCUUUAAGGACCGGGGAAUGCCUUAGCAGUGGCACUCAGUGGGAGAGGAGGCUCUGAAUCCUUCGUGUGAGCUGGGCAGGUGUCAGGUCCUCUUGCUCAUCAUCAUAGGACCCCAGAGAGGAGCUUCGCCGCCUGUGAAGAGUACGACUUGGGUCAGUUUCCCCAGGAGCAGUCACUGCUUGCCUAGAGGGGCCCUGGGGAAGUGGGACACCAUGUGGCAUGCGGUGGUGGGGUGGGGGCAGUGCGGAGACAAAACAGCCUCUCUCCUCUUGAAUAAAAGACACUUGAGUGAUCCAUUGGAGCUUGGUAUGUCCCACCUAUUAAGUACAUCUAGGCUUUCUAGCUCACAUUUAUAAUUAGCAAAGUAGGACUGGACAUCAACCUUUCCUGUGGGCCUACAAGAGCUGAAUUGGAGAGCGCUUUGGAAAGGAGACGCUAAGAAAAUUCAAUAUGUGAUGUUGCAGUUGGGCCACAGCUCAAAUGGGAAACUACAACAUGGCCUGUGUCCUAGGAUGGAGAAUUUCAAAUAUGUUGCUCCAUAGGCUCACGACUUAAUUAAAAA
rnacentral:lncRNA from 10 species